rnacentral:rRNA from 1 species
GAUGAACGCUAGCUCCAUGUUGUUAACACAUGCAAGUCGAGGGGCAUCGGGAAGAAAGCUUGCUUUCUUUGCCGGCGACCGGCGCACGGGUGAGUAACACGUAUCCAACCUGCCCUUUACUCGGGGAUAGCCUUUCGAAAGAAAGAUUAAUACCCGAUAGCAUAAUGAUUCCGCAUGGUUUCAUUAUUAAAGGAUUCCGGUAAAGGAUGGGGAUGCGUUCCAUUAGGUUGUUGGUGGGGUAACGGCCCACCAAGCCUUCGAUGGAUAGGGGUUCUGAGAGGAAGGUCCCCCACAUUGGAACUGAGACACGGUCCAAACUCCUACGGGAGGCAGCAGUGAGGAAUAUUGGUCAAUGGGCGCUAGCCUGAACCAGCCAAGUAGCGUGAAGGAUGAAGGCUCUAUGGGUCGUAAACUUCUUUUAUAUAAGAAUAAAGUGCAGUAUGUAUACUGUUUUGUAUGUAUUAUAUGAAUAAGGAUCGGCUAACUCCGUGCCAGCAGCCGCGGUAAUACGGAGGAUCCGAGCGUUAUCCGGAUUUAUUGGGUUUAAAGGGAGCGUAGGUGGACUGGUAAGUCAGUUGUGAAAGUUUGCGGCUCAACCGUAAAAUUGCAGUUGAUACUGUCAGUCUUGAGUACAGUAGAGGUGGGCGGAAUUCGUGGUGUAGCGGUGAAAUGCUUAGAUAUCACGAAGAACUCCGAUUGCGAAGGCAGCUCACUGGACUGCAACUGACACUGAUGCUCGAAAGUGUGGGUAUCAAACAGG